rnacentral:lncRNA from 1 species
UUGAUCAACGCUCUGACCUUAUGUGGACAUCCGCAAGUGAAAGAUCCCCUGAUCUACAUCUAAUUUGCAUCCAAAAACAACUCAGUCACCUCAAUGUGUUCCAAUUAUAAAUAGAAGCCACUUACAAAGCACGGCCCCAGAGACUGCAGUGAACCUUCAAUAUAGUUGCUUGAUUGCUUCUAUUGUUGGUUUCAUCUUGAUUGAUUCUCAAGUUUUCAGCGUAAGAUAGAACAAUGCAUCGUUCUAAAAUUAUGGUUCAAGAAAAAUGCAGUCUACCUCUUUUGACAUUUUUACUACAACACUAUAUGCCUAGCCUUAUCCACAACUAUGAACAUUUCAAGUAUAAGGAAUCAAAAGACUAUCCCUCCAUGCAAGGUUCGCCGUACCGGUACCGAACCCCAUACCGGUGCCGCACUAGUAUAGGCGUACCGAGUGUCGGUACGGUACCGUACACUCGGUACCGACCGUACCGACAUUGGUGUACCGAUACCAGUACCCAUCGGUACGGGUACGGUACGCUCGGUACCUACCGGUACCGACCGGUACAGCGAACCUUGCCUCCAUGUAUACUAUGCAAAAUGGGACCUCGAUGGCCUCUCAUGUUAGUGCUCAAACGGACCCAUAAUCAUGAAUGCUUUUAAUGACGUCUCCCAAUGCUUCUAGUUUGAGAUCAAGAACAUUCCGGAAUUGCCCAAAAUUUUCAGAUUUUGGGAAAAUAAGAAACCUAAGAACAACUCUAUAGUUGAGCAUUAUUGCCAUAACAGACAAGUGAACACCUAAGACUUUUAUACUCUUGAAAUAUUUUAGAAUCAAACGAAUGACAGCCCAUUUUUCAUUUUCUCCAAUUGGCACUCCUAAGAUCUAGCAAAAAAAAGGGUUAUCUAUCCACAUAUGCACUAUUCAAUUGACAUCUCUAUCGCCACUUUCUGUCAUUAGCUAAUGGUGCAAUUGCAUGUGCAGGUAUAUUGCAAAGAGGCAAAAUGAUCAAGACCAUCUGGUUCUCACUAACAAGGGAAGAGAACAACUUCAAAGUGGUGGGCUAUCAUAUGAAACCACAAGCAGUAUUUUGAAACCAGUGCCUCUUGUCGUGAUAAUUCAGGUACUUGAAUUGGCAGUUGGCAAGCAUAUUAGAUGAUGUAUAAUGUGAACAUUAUAGUGUGCAGACAUAGCCUCAAGCCCUUUGUAUAAGUUGACAUAGUUUCAACAACAAAGAUGAGAAAGUAAUGAAUAUACAUAUAUAUAGAAAGAGCGAAAGAGAGAGAGCACUAGUCGAGGCUACAGUUGAGUGGAUCUCCACUCAAAUCCGGUCAGGUCUAAAUUGGAUGAGAGCCGGCAUCGAUAAUCCAAACUGUUGGAUGUGAUCUACUACCUCUAAAUUGCUUACAUACCAAAAAUGUGAUUUGGAGACGACUAGC